rnacentral:lncRNA from 1 species
AUAUGAUACUCCCUCCUUGGACAACAUGAUUACGGAGAACCAAGAAAGACAUCAAAUAAUCGCCGGGCUAGCCACCAACGUCAACGUGCUGACAAAAAUAUUCACUGAAAGCCAAACAAAAGUGGUAAAUGUUAUGGAAGAUAUGCAACCUAUAUUAAAUGAGGAGUACAAAGAAGAAAAUUAUGUCAACAAUCCUCAUGGAGGAUAUCAAAGACAAUCUUACCAAGGUUCAGGACAACAACACCAAUGGAGGUCUAACCGGCAAGGGCAAGGCAACCAACAAUGGCGAAAUGACCAAGGUAAUUCCAAUCAAGGAAAUUAGAGUAACAACAACAAUAAUUUUUUAAAUCGAAGUUCAAACCCCUAUGUUCCACCAAAGGGGCAAUACACUAGUUCUUCGCAUUGGAAAGAAAACUCUUCAAGUGAUUCCAAGUUAGAAAGAAAAAUCAGGAGAGAUCCGACACCUCAAUGAAGAACAUGGCCGAACUUGUGGGUUCUCACACCGCAUCCUUACAAAAGUUGGAAUUGCAAACGAGAGAUCUUUCAAGAGAGAAAAAUCCGAAGCAGAAAGGCACGCUCCCAAGUGACACAAUAGCGAACCCUAAGGGUAGUGGGAGUGGUCCGACUUCCCAUUGUAUGGAAAUCACAACUCCAAGUGGGAAACUACUUCAAGGAGAGAACGAACAAGUGGUCGAAGUGGAAUAUUCUGAACAAGAAGUUGAGGCACAAGUUGAGGUGCCAAUUGUUGUUGAAGCUGAAAGACUUCUAACAGAGGUGAAAAUUCAAGAAAUGAACCAUGUAGAGGCUAAGGAAAAGGUAAAAAAGACACCAAAAACUCUACCACCAAUUCCUAGGCCUCCUCAUCCUUUCCCUCAAAGACUUGCUAGGAAGGUUGAUGAUCACAAACUCGAGAAGUUCUAUGACAUUCUCAAGCAAUUCCAUUAUCGGUGAAUAUUCCAUUUGUGGAAGCAUUUCAAGAGAUGCCAUGUUUUUCUAAGUACUUGAAGGACUUGAUCACUAAAAAUAAAACCACCAAGAAUGAAGUGGUAAAUGUGACUCAUUGGUUGUAGCCAGAAUAACUAUUGGGUUGCGCGAAUUUGCAUGAGCCCUUUAUGAUAAUGGGGCUAGCAUCAAUUUAAUGCUUCUUGCUAUUUAUAAGCUAGCAGGGUUAGGAAUUCCUAGGCCUACAAGUAUGAGGUUGCAAAUGGACGACCGUUCAAUAAAGAAACCUAUGGAAAUUGUUGAUGAUGUUCUUGUGAAAGUGGGAAAGUUCCUCCUCCCUGCCGACUUUGUUAUCCUUGAUUGUGCUAUUGAUAAAGAAAUCCCUAUCAUCUUGGUGAUACCAUUCCUUUCUCCCGACAGAGCACUCUUGGAUUCAGAAAGAAAUAAGAUCAUAUUCCGAGUUAAUGACAAAGAGGUUACCUUUCAAGCGAGUAAGGGUAUGAAAUUGCCACAUGCAUAUGAAAGUAUCUCGGUCAUUGAUAUUGUUGAUGAGGUAGAGGAUGCAGUCGAGGUAAAGAUGGAAGAAGAAUGCCUUGGUGAGGCAUUGGCGGCCAUUUUGGUAAAUUUUGAUGGUGAAGACAUGGAAGGAUACAUGGAAUCGAUAAAUGCAUUGGAAGGGCUUGGGUCCUACACUUAUGCACCAACGAAACUUUCUCUUUACUUACAGAAUAGAGUCACUCCUCCCGCUAAGCCUUCAAUUAUCGAGCACCACAACUUGACCUCAAGCCACUUCCACCGCACUUAAAGUAUAAAUUUCUUGGGUCCAAUGAAACUCUACCUGUAAUCGUUUCUUCUUUUUUGAAUGAUGUGCAUGUUGAAUACCUUGAGGGAGCACAAAUAUGCCAUUGGGUGGACAAUAUUGGACAUCCGAGGGAUUCCCACUAGAUUUUAUGAGCACAAAAUACAAUUGGAGCAAGAGAGAAAACCUAGUGUAGAGCAUCAAAGAAGGUUAAACCUUUCCACACAAGAGGUGAUAAAGAAAAAAAUCAUAAAAUGGUUAGAUGUCGGGGUUGUCUACCCCAUUGACGAUAGUCCUUGGGUGAGUCCGAUGCAAUUUGUGUCAAAGUAAGGAGGCAUUACCGUGAUUCAAAACGACAAAAAUGAGCUCAUCCCAACAAGGACGGUGAAUGGGUGGAGAGUUUGCAUGGACUAUCGGAAGCUCAAUAGUACUACUUGCAAGGACCAUUUCCUUAUUCCUUUUAUUGAUCAUAUGCUUGAUCGACUAGCCGGAAGGUCAUUUUAUUUCUUCUUGGAUGGUUAUUCUGGCUACAACCAAAUCAACAUCGCCUUACAAGAUCAAGAGAAGACAACAUUCACAUGCCCGUAUGGGUCUUUUGCUUUUAGUCGGAUGCCAUUUGGGCUAUGCAAUGAUCCGGCUACCUUCCAAUGAUGCAUGAUGUCAAUCUUCUCGUACAUGGUGGAGGAUUUCUUAGAGAUGUUCAUGGAUGACUUUUUUGUAGUAGGUGAUUCCUUUGAGCAUUGCCUUGAUAACCUUAGGCAAAUGCUCAAACGAUGUGAGGAAACAAACCUUGUGCUAAAUUGGAAAACAUGCCACUUCAUGGUGGAUGAGAGUAUUGUUCUGGGCCACAAAAUUUCUAAGCAAGGUAUAGAAGUUGAUCGGGCAAAGAUCAAGAACAUUUCCAAACUUCCUCCUCCCAAUUCGGUAAAAGGUGUUAGGAGCUUUUUUAGGCAUGCCGAUUUUUAUAGGCGUUUUAUCAAAGACUUCUCAAAUAUUGCAAGUCCCAUGUGCAAGCUCCUUAAAAAAGAUACAAAGUUUGGUUUUGAUGAGAAGUGCCUCAAUGAUUUUGAGGAAUUGAAAGCGAGGCUCACCACGACACCUAUUCUCAUCACACCUAAUUGGUCUCUUCCAUUUGAACUCAUGUGUGACUCCAGUUGUGUAGCUAUUGGGGCGGUACUUGGUCAACGACAUAACAAGAUUCUUCAUCCUGUCUACUAUGCAAGUAAGGCACUCAAUGGUGCACAAAUUAAUUACACUAUGACGGAGCAGGAGCAAGAACUUCUUUCUAUUGUCUAUGAUUUUAAAAAAUUCCGGUCCUAUUUGUUAGGUUCCAAAGUGAUUGUCUACACCGAUCAUACUGCUCUCCGCUACUUUAUGGCGAAGAAGGAUGCUAAACCAAGAUUGAUUAGGUGGGUUCUUUUUGUUAUAAGAGUUUGACUUUGAAGUCAAAGAUCGGAAAGGACCAGAGAAUGAAGUUGCGGAUCAUUUAUCUAAGCUUGAAGAGCCAGGGAGACCAAACGAAGAUCUUGAAAAUAAUGAUGCCUUCCCAGAUGAACACAUAUUGGCAUUGUCUAGAGCCUUCACUCCUUGGUAUGCCGACAUCACUAACUUCUUGGUACGGAUUGGAAGCUUAUCAAAAGAAAAAGUUCUUGCUGGAGUGUAGAAAAUACUAUUGGGAGCAACCCUUUCUGUUCCGGAUUUGUGCCGACAACAUCAUUCGGCGUUGUGUUCCGAAAGACGACGUAAUGCAAAUUCUCAAAGCAUGUCAUGACUCCCUAGUUGGGGUCCAUCAUGAUGGAAAUCGUACUGUGGAAAAAGUUCUUGAAUGUGGCUCAAUGUCAAAGACAAGGGUCAAAUUCUAAAAGACAUGAGAUGCCUAUGAAUUUUGUGAUGGAGGUUGAUAUCUUUGAUGUGUGGGGGAUAGAUUUUAUGGGUCCCUUCGCAAGCUCUUAUGGAAUGACAUAUAUCUUGGUGGUAGUAGACUAUGUCUCCAAAUGGGUCUAGGCAAUUGCCUUGCCUAACAAUGAGGCAAGGAGUGUAACUGAAUUCUUGAAGAAGAACAUAUUUACGCAGUUUGGAACCCCAAGGGCCAUCAUUAGUGAUGGUGGUUCUCACUUUUGCAACAAAUCUUUUGCCGUGCUGCUUAAAAUAUAUGGAGUUAAGCACAAAGUGGCCACCUCUUACCAUCCUUAGUCGAGCGGUCAGGUUGAAGUCUCCAACAGGGAGAUCAAAAAUAUCCUAGCAAAAACUGUUAAUGCAAACACGACCGACUGGUCCAAGAAGCUAGAUGAUGCAUUGUGGGCAUAUCGAACAACAUUCAAGAAUCCCAUUGGCACCUCACCAUAUCGGUUGGUUUUUGGUAAGGCAUGUCAUUUGGCAAUAGAGCUUGACCAUAAAGCUAUGUGGGAAUUGAAAAAGUUAAAUCUUGACUGGGCCGAAGCUGCUAAUCUAAGGAUGACACAACUCAACGAGAUGGAAGAAUUCCAUUUUCAUGCCUACGAGAAUGCAGCCAUGUAUAAGGAAAGAAUGAAUUUUGUUCAUGAAAAGAAGAUAUUGAAGAGGGAAUUCAAAUCCGGUGACCUGGUUUUACUUUUUAACUCAAGACUGAAGUUCUUUUCGGGAAAACUCAAAUCCAAAUGUUCUGGCCUGUUCAAAGUUGUGAAUGUAUCUUCCUAUGGUGCCAUUGAAUUGGAAUCCAAGGACGAGACUCGAACUUUCAAAGUAAAUAGACAAAGGGUCAAACAUUACCUCAGAACCAGUGGAGAAAAAUAUUUUGUGGAACAAUAUGCCCUCAAAUACGGUCCUACACCAACCCCCAUUAAUGAUUAGCCGUGACAUUAAAUCAAGCGGUUCUUGGGAGGCAACCCAUAUGUAGUAACACAUUUUUGUUAGAUUUUAAUUUCAGUAAGUAUAAUUGUAAGUGUGAGAAGAUUGACGUGUGUUCUAGAAUACUAGUGACCCAAAAUACAAUGAAAUAGGAUGCAAGGUUAGAGGAAAAUGAAGGAAAGCAAGACCUGUGUUUGCGGCAACAUAUACGGCCACAUAAUCGAUUUGCGGACCGCAUAAGGAUCGCACACACAAGCAGAAAAAAUGAAAUCUGGUCAUUUAAAAAUGUGGUGAAAAUUUAAUAUUUGCGGCUCGCAUAACGAUUAUGCAACCGCAAAAUCGAUCGCAAAGCUGGUUUGUAUCACUCACUCACUAACCCAUCGCAUAACACUUAUGUGAUGGCAUAAUGUGUUAUGCGAUGCACUACCUCACCGCUAACCUCCCAAGUAUAAAAGCCCUAAAUCCCUCACUCACCAUUUCCGUCGCUAAUUUACACUCCCACGCACACGGGCACACCGCAUAACAUAAAACAAAAGAUAUAAAAGAUCAAAAAUAGUAAAACAAAAAAACACAAAAUCAAAAACAAAUUGAAAAGGAAGGGCGCAGCAACAGACACUAUGCCGUCGUCCGCUGGUGAAAAGCUAUAGGACCAGUCCCAACAGAUACACAAUCCAAUGGCGUACAAACUCCAGUUGGGCGCUCCUGCAAAUUCCAAUCAAGAUAUUGUACAUCUAAAUUUUGGUGACGCAAUUACUGUAGCAACAAAUCAAAUAGAAUUUCUGAAAUCUCCCAGCUCGAUUCUGGGCCAAAUAUCACAACAAAAAAUACGUAUGCUGCUCAAUUGACUCAAGAAAAACCAACUGCAACUUUGAAUCAAAAAUUGUUGAAACCUAUUGAAGUUAUUCAUGGAGUUCCAACAAUUCUGUUUUCGAUGGAUGAACGGAUGUAAUUCACAAAAGAGGAGGGAUUGCAUCAAGCUGUUGUGGUGAAACUUUCCUCAAACGCACCAGAUGCAGUCACAUUGAGAAGUUUACUGCCAAAUAUUUUCGGUAGCAAACGACAAGCUUUGAUCGGCCAUCUUGCACCUAGACAAUUACUUAUUAGGAUUGAUCAACAUGAAGAUUUCAUUAAUUCACUUGCAAGGUCAGUUACCUACUUUAAAUACAAUGGUAAGGAGCACCAAAUCAGGGUAUUUCCAGGGUCUGUUGGUUGUUAAUGUAAAGGAGGAAACGACAAAGGCAGUGGUUUGGAUUUCUUUGCCUAAUCCGCCAACAGAAUUGUUUGCAAUGAAGGCUUUGUUGUCUAUAGUUUCUGUUGUUGGUAAGUAUAUAGCCAUUGACAAAGCUACUCAGACUAAGUGGCAUCCUAGUACUGAAAGGGUGAAGGUUAUCCUUGAUUUAAUGGAUAAACUACCAGAUAAAUUGAGGCUGCAAUUUCUGGACAAACAAACUGACCAAAUGGUUGAAGUUUUUCAAUAUUGUGUAUGAUAAUUUGCCAUUAUAUUGCAACCACUAUAAACACCAAGGACAUGAUGAAAAUACAUGUCGCGGUUGAAUGAAAAGGCAGUAGGGAGCAUGCCAGGUGAGGAAGAUGAUGUCGUGCAAAGAGAAGAAGAGAUACUGGUUAAGGAAGAUAAGUUAGUUAAGAAGUAUCAAGGUGAUUUGAGGCAAUUGCUUAGUGAAAAAAAGUGACUUCCAGGUUUGAUUGAGGCAACAGGUGUCGAGGAUAAAGCCCAUAGAACUGAUGGUGUACAGAUUCAUUAUAAAUCUGGGAAUCAGUCAUUAAAAGAUGCUACUGCUGGGGCAUUAAAAGAUGCUUUGCUUCCUGUUGAAACAGCUCUUGCCAAGGCUUGUAAUGAUACCUGAUGUUGUGAAAAAUAAACUCCCAGCUGAUAUACCUGCUACAAGAGCUUUGUCCACGAUUUACAAGGCAGUGAGUAAGGCAACUACAGAUGCACUAGCUGGAGAUGUUCGUGGAUAUGCUGAAAGUUCAAAUUGGGCAACACUGGAUACUACUGUUGUUAAACCUACUAUUGCACUUACAAUUGAAAAAAGAGUUGGGUUAAAUGCUACUGUUGUGCAUGAUUAGGGGCAAGGUGUUGAACGUGUGAGAACUUUAAAUAAUAUAAAUGAUGCAGGUAUUAAGGCAAAGGAACAAGCUAGGCAGAUGCAAGAAACUACAAAAGAUCAACAAAAUACAUAGUUCAAGUAGGGGAGGAAAAAUCUGGGCAGUUUAUUGGGGUUACUGGGGGUGUUGAUUGCCAAGUUGCUACUGCUACUGCAUUAAAGGCUGCUGCUGAUCGACAUGUUUAUUCAAAUAAGAUUUAUAAUGUUCAACAAGUCGAUGGGGCAUAUGUGAUUCAAAUUGGUAAUGGGCGAGGGAUUUCGUUUAUCAACCAACUACUGAAAAUGCAAGUCCAAUAUCUGCAGCCCUGAAGCAAGGUUCUCUGUUUUCUGAGGGGGGAUUUACUAGUAUUCACAAUGCAGUGCGUAAUGCAACUGUUAGAGAUCGUGGAUAUGCUGAAAUGUCAAAUUUGGAGGCUACUGCAGCAUUGAAGGCAGUUGGUGAUCGAGUUGUUUAUGGGGUAGUUGAACCUACUGCUGCACAUGCCGAUUUAAUUGAAAAAUCAUUAGGUCCAAUAACAUCUUUGUCUAGCAAAAAUAAUGUUUCAGUUCACAAAACUCAAACUAGUGUAGAAAAACUCAGUGAAACACCUACAGAAGCACGUGCACAAUUCUAUGCACCUGAACAGAUUCCAUCAGCGUUUCUAUUUCAAUUUUCUGCUGUGCAGCCAGAAAAUAAUUCUAUUCUUAUGGAUGGAAGAUUUAUGGAUCGUGUAGAUGUUAUGGAAUUCGAGUAUGCAGUAUCUAACUUAGCACAAAUACUGGUUGUAAGUACGACCAAUAAUAAAGAAAACGUGGCAACAUUGAAUUGGUUAAGAAUAGUAGUGCUCGACAACAUGCUAAUGUGAACAACUUGGCGGAGGGGUUAACGGUCUGUUAAACACGAAGCUCCAACACUCCUAAUCAACAUUCUUCCAGUCCACAUGUGAAAAAAAUCAUUAAGGAAACUCAGGUUUCCAUGAUGUCGAACGCCACUCCUAUGGCCAAACAACCGUUGGUCACUUUGAAUACAUCGGCACAUGAGAUUCCUUUUCAAUCAUUGGAGUCAUUUGGUGAGUAUUGUAUUGAAUCCGAGCAGCUCCUACUAUCCAUAUGGAAUGAUUAUGAUAUAGUCAAAGAGGAUAUGAGGGAGGAGAGUAAUAUGCAAAUUUGCUGUGGGCUGAUCAAGUUGAGGAUGAAGAGGACGAUGAUGAAGUUGAUUUUGAAUAUGGUAAUGAAAAGGAAAUUGAAUGUGGCAGCCCAUUUUCAGUGGGAUCACCAACGGCACAAGCCCAUGAUAGGGCACUCUUACAUGCAUUGGACAGUCCAACACCACACAAAUUUGCACUUUCAACAGUCGCACAAUGGCUGCAAUCUUCAGGUAAGAACAACAACACAAAUAUUCAAUCUCAAGCCUCAAUUGAUAAACCUAACAUUAAAGAAGGAGUGGUCACCAGGCAACCCCCAAUGCGAGUUGCAAAGCAAAAGGGGGCAACCCCAAUCACAUCCACAAGGCCCAAUCGAUCUAAGAAGAAAUGAUGAAUUUUGAAGACAUUUUGAAGAGAUUGGAAGAAGAAGAAGCCAAAAACCUACAAAUUGAAGAGUGCACAUGCUUGAAAAAAGAGGGGCAACAAUCAAAUAUUUACCGUAUUUUAUUUUACCAUUUUAUAAGUAUAAUCAUAUGUAAUAUCAUGAUAGAGUAUGUUAUAAAUUCUGUGAUGAUCAUACAGUGCUUAGUUCGUUCUUCUUCAUAUUUGUUACAUUCUGGUUAGUAGUUGUGUUCUUUAAUGCCUCAUUAGGAACUAUGAGGUAAGGUUUAGCGUAGUAUGUGCUUGCUCAUGUCCUACGCCUUUGGAAUAUAUCCAUACGGCUAUGAGAUCAUUCACCCUCAUGAGGCUAUGCUAGCAGCCUAUGAGGCUACGUCAAAGGACAUUGGAGGCGCAGAUGGAUGAUUAUAUAGUAAAGUCAUAGUGGCAAGACUACUGCUGCUUUUGUCGCCCUUACUUGUACUCUUCCUUUGUGAUUUUUCUGUUUAAUAUUAAUAUAAAAACUACUAGGAAUCAUGCCUGGUGGUCUAUUUGCUAACAAAAAAAAUAUUGAAAAGGAAGGGCUUACCCUAUUUGUGCUUCAGACUGAAAUCUUCCAUCCUCUCCUAUGUACAAUUCCACCCUUUCUCUUACUUAAUCAAAUUAAAGAAUGCCAUAUACUCUCAUUGCCCUCCUCUUUCUCCUCAACUCCUUGCUAUGAGUGAUCAAUUUUGAAUGAUUGUACUGAAUAUCAACGUGGGGGCCCUUGUGGAUAAAUCAAAAUUUGGGGAUAUAAAUUAGAGAGUAGGAGUAAAGAAAAAGGGUUGGACAGUUGUAUCAAUUUGCUUAAAUUUCAUCCUACUGAGUGUGAAGGACUGGCCUGAGAACGUUUUGUUUGUGCAUGAUAGGUAGUUUUCUAUAAGCCCGUGUGUGGUUGAAUUUGCGACCGCAGAAACAUUUUGCGUAUCGCAAAAUAGUCACAGAGAAAGGCAGAUAAAAGGAUAUAUCUGAAGAACAACAUGCAACCGAUAUGCGGUCGCAUAAGUUGUUAUGCGGCCACUUCUGCAUACCACAUAAUUUGUUUUGCUUCUGAGGGUUGUAUUAUGUGAUAGGUUUUGCGGAUCGCAGAGUUGUUAUGCGAUCGCAUAACUGGUCGCAGAAACAUCUUUGUUUUUAAAUUCCUUAUAAUAUGUUACCCAUGCCUUAUCACUUACUCACUCUUUAUUAAUUGACAGGAAUGGAACCAAAGAAAGUUCGAGCAUCGCGACAACCCACCAAUCAAGGAAAGAGACAUGCUGCUGCUAUAAGCCCACAAUCACAACAAUCCCAAUGCAAGCGGCCUGACUCAUCCAGAACUUUAUCUGCGUAUUCCUCCCAGUAUGAAGAGGAGGAGGCACAACUUGCUCUUAUGCCACCAGUUGACCUCCAUGCCGAAGCAUGCCGAAAGAUGGGUGAGGAUCUCAGGUUUGGGAUCUCCGGCUCUUGGACUUUGUACCUAGAUGGCCUGACAAAGAGAAAGAUCCUCGAAGAAAAGAAGCUAGGCUUGAACGGGUUAAAAUAACACUACCCCCAUGUGCUAGAAAACAUCAAAACAAGAGGAUGGGAGUUCUUCACUCAUGUUCCGGGGGAGUACAAUGAGACACUCAUUAGGGAAUUCUAUGCUUCAUAUGCUGCAUCCAGGAACGCUGAACAGGAGAGAAACCAUAGGUUUUUGGCAUCCGUCUUAGUUUGAGGGGUUGAAAUAUUCUGUGAUGCCUCCUCAAUCACUGAUAUAUAUUAUGAAGCAUGGGAAACAGGCACUUCAGAAUUUAACGCAAGAUUGCAAAUAAGUAAUCCGAGCGUGCUUGGGUAGCCUCUUUCAUAUCCAAGGGAACUCCGUCCUUGAUCGCGCCGCGCCAGAAGAUUCACAUAGGGAUCUUACACAAGAAGGCUAGUAUUGGCUCAGUUUGGUUUGUUCUCAUAUAAUGCCCUCCAGCAAUGAAACUGACCUAAGUAUCGAGAAGGCGAUCCUCAUUGCAUGCAUCAUGUUGGGUAUCAAGGUUAAUGUGGGAGAGCUUAUAUUCCGUGAGUUUAGGAUCCGGGCGAACCAGAAAGAAACCUCGCUUCUUUUUCCAUGCUUAAUCCAUGCUUUGUGUGAAGCUAGGGAAGUUCCUCCUUUACCCAAACAUGACCGUAUAGAAACAGCUGUUCAUGACUCUGACAUUACACGGAUCAAUGAUGCAUUAGAUAAAGUGAUUGAAGGUCCAUUAGAACAUUCAAUCACUCCUCUCCCAGCCUCUGCAACAUCUGCUACCUCAUCAGUGCCCGACACUUCAUCCGCGCCAGCAACAUCCACAUCCACUCCAAGACCAGCCACUGCAACACCACUUGUCUUACUGCCUGCACUUUCAAAGCUUGGGCUACUGGCACAACAUGCAAAUGCCAAAGUGGAUAAAUUGACAAAAGAACUUUCAUCUCUCUUCCGGUAAGAACUGGCCCCGAUCCAAACCUCAGUAAGUGCUCUUCAACAACAACAUCUAUCAUAUGAUAAUCGACUAAAGCGCUUGGAAGUGCGCCUUGAAAGGGUUUGAGAUAGGCAGCGAUGGGGACAUACCUCAACUAAAAAAGAAUGUAUCUGAGCUCAAGUCAGAACUGCAUAAGAUGCAGACACGGGAGUUUGAUUUGACCUCCAUUCUGCCGGUGGAAGGAGAGUAGGGCAUUGGAACCUCCCACAUACCAAGCCAUGAGUUUGAUUUUACAAACAUCAUGUCAGCUGAGGUAGCCCAUGGUACUGCGAUCUCACAAGCUCCGAGCUCCGUUUCACACACCAACGAUCCAGAAGCUGAGGAAUCUGGAGAGUCUGAUGAAGGAACUGAUGAAGAGGAAACUGAUGAGGAGAGGAUACUUGAGGGGGGUGAUAGUAAGAUGGACAAGAGAGGCAAACAAGUUGUUGGUUCUAUAUAUGCACUGGCUAAAGAGGAGGAAGAUGUGAAAAUAACCAUUGCACAGUCCCUUGCAUAUAUAGUCGCCAAAGCUACUACCAUGACCAUACAACAAUCAUUGGGUGAGGCUAGCAGCUCACAGGUCCAAGACCCAGCAACACAACUAUCCAGUCAGAUGUUCCACCUACUGCAUCUAUAGUGUCAGCCCCAAGGCCGCCUCGGAUGUUCCAACCUCCCCAAGUGCCUAGUACGCCCCAGGAAUUCCCAAAAACUUUACUCUUACUUUCUCAAUGCAUUGGGGACAAUACAUGCUCUUUCGUUGAGGGUGGGGUAGUAAAUAUUUCACAACUUGUAUAUAAAAUUUUAAUCUUAAAAUUGUAGAUUUGUAUAUAACAAUGAAUUCUCCUUAGUUUUUCUUCGCUGGGUUCUUUUCCACGGGUGUAAUAGUAGAACCAUGGCCACAAAACAUCUUGGACUUGUUUAGUGAUUUUGUUCUAGCUUCAAGCAUAUGAUAUGUUUUUGUUGAAUAAAGUGCACCCUUCAAAUUUUGUAAAUAAAUGGUUAGUCAGUCUCGUGAAAUCGAGGCUCACUUUUUGACUUUGUGCCUACUUAGAAUCUCAAAUAUCAUGUGAAGAAGCUUUGAGUUGCCUUGUAUUCACUUGAGGGCUAAAAUUAUGCCGAGUCGAAUAGUUCAUGCGUUGUGAGUGAGUUAGAAGUUGUGUAAAUAUUGCACUGCUUAACUUGUAAUCUAUAGAACUUGCCCCGUUGGUUUCUCAAAGCAAUUCUCAGGUUGAUGAUUGGGCGUUGAAAUGAUCUUAGGCUCUCUUUAUGAUUGAUAACUAAUUUUUGACCAAAUAACCUCCUUGGUACAUCUAUUGUCCUAGUUACCCCCCCUGUUGAGCCUUUAACCUUUUAUUUGGCUACUACAUUAUAAACCUUUACCCCUUUGUGAAAUAAGUUCCCUUUGAACCCGUCCUUCCUUGAACGAGUAAGAAUAAGGCUAAAAGCCUAUGUUGGGGGUGUUGGUGUUAAUUGAAAAUUGGUAAAGUUGUACAUUGUGUGUAGAAUAAAAGACCUCAUAGUUGUGUAUAUGAAGAUAAUCAAAAAAAAAAGAAAAAAAAAUGUUGGUGUGGAGUCUUAUGAAAACUAAAGAAAUACGUUGAGGUAGUUCUAUGUCGGUAACUAGAGGUCAAUUAGGGCUAUGCGGUAAAAAGCAAAGUGUAUGUAGAGUUCAAGGAGGGUACAACCACUACAUUCCCAAAUAUUCGUCCAACCCGUCCCGAAGCCUACAUUACAAACCAUGAAAAGUCCUUGGUAAUCUACAACCAAUUAUUCCUAAGAUAACAAUGAUUUAAAAUAAGGGCAAGCAUAUGGACUGAUAUUUGUAGCGUUUAGGCUCCUUUCCGAGUGCAAGAGCGUUUGAUUGUAUCCCCUGUACAUAUUUGUUGAGUUGGGGAUUUUCUUUGAUGUGAGCACGCAUGAAUUGCAAGAAUUAGCAGAAAUUAAGCCUUUUGAGGUAGGAUACAAAUGCAUAUCUAGCUAUGAGUAGCACUCUGUCAUUUUUCUAGAGGCUCAAAAGUUCACUAAAUGAUUAGUCGAACUGUACUUGAUCUUUGUCCUUGAAGAAGGGUGAGAGUUGUGGUUACAUGCUUGUUAGCUAACGGUGAGCAUCAUCCAUAGUCAUUGCUACUUUGCAAUGCAUUUAGUCAGUUCAGUUGAUAUUAUGUUAUAUUUUUGUUUGUUUGUUUGUUUGUCUCUCUUCUAUUGUAGUUGUGUUUAUUUGUUUGUUGCUUGAGGGCAAGCAAAAGUCUAAGUUGGGGGUGUUGAUGUGCCGUAGAAUUGCGGCACUUUUGAUACUAAUUACAUAGACUCUAGCUCGUCUUUUGAAGCAUUUUAAGUUAUUUUGUUAUGUAGUUUUGAUGUUUUGUAGCAAACUAGGCUUGAAGAACCAAGAACAAGGAAAGGGGAACAAAAAAACCAUAGAAUGCCAGAAAUGUUGCAGGUCUGUGACCGCACAACUGAUGUGCGGGCCGCAUACCAACCGCAGAGUGAAGCAUAUUUUCUCAGUUAUGAGAGUGGAUUGUGUGAUCUAUUGUGCGGUCGCAUAAUGCUUAUGCGGACCAAAUAAUGACCAUACAAGUGCAAAGAGAGUUUUUGCGAGAACAAGUCUGCGACAUCAAAUGCGAUCGCGAAAUAAAUAUGCGGACCAUAUAACAGAAAUGCGAUGAACAAUUGGGCAACUUGACAUUCAAUUAUGCAAUGGAGUUGCAGUUAUGCAGGCCGCGAAAGUGUUCUGCGACCUAUUCUGCGAUCGCAGAUGUGAUCCGUAGGGGUAUAUUUGUCAUAUUUUGACCCCGACUUUUAGCCUAUUAUAUAUAGAAUAACUAGGGUUUUUGAGGGACAACUACUUUGAUAGAGAGAGGCUACGCUUAGGACAUUGAAUGCACCAUUAUUUUGGAAGCAUGGGAGAUAAAAUCCAAGACUUUGUCUAUAAUUGUAAGCUUCAUGACUUUAUUUAUUACAUUGCUGUUGUAUUCUAGUAUGAGUAGAUAAGUUUAAAUAUAAAGGUUGUGAAUCCUAUAUGGGUGUAAUGUUAAUGUGUGUUCAUCAUUGAAUGUUUAUAUAAUGGAAAGUUGAUUUCUAUUCAUUUCUCAUGCGUCAUUUGUAGUUGAUGGUUGCAAAUAUUGACUAGUGCCAAUUCAUUCUAUCUUUACUUGGGAAAGUGGGUUAGAAUUUGGUAGAUUUGAAUAGCAAGAACUCAAGGCUCUAAACCCUAUUUAAUAGAAUCUCUUAGGAAUAAGUGGAUUCUAUUUUGCAUAAAUUGGUCGUUCUUAAUUAUCACUUAUUUUAUAUUUGGGAAAAUCAUAAAGAGAAACUACUAUCUAAUUGUUGGAAAAUAUUAGUUAGUAACCUAGAAAUCAUUUGCAUAUCAACGAGCUUCCCAUUUAACAAUAUGAAAUAUGGAUACCGUUAGCAUUGCAUUCCAUUGAUGGAGACACAAUCUUGGUUUCUUAAUCAAUUUUAUCAAAUUAUAUCAAUGAAAUAUCUUGUAUUGAUAAAUCUCAAUUACAACACUCUCUUUUUAAGCUAACGGAGUAGGAUUACGACUUAAGUCAAGUUUUACACUACUCAAGUAACCUUUUCACACCUAUUCCCUGUGAGAUUCAAACCCAACCUAGUUGGGUUACUAUAUUUGACAUCGGUCGCUUUAUACUAUUUAUUUAGGUGUAAUUUGAGCGUAUCUGCAUCUAGUUGGAAAGUACGUGCUUGGGAAGAUUUAAUUGGUUACGUAAUCGUAGCGAUCGUGGUAGGGGUAUGAAAGGGUGUUCAUUUGAGGAUAGUUUACUGUCCUAGAGUCUAUGUGUUUGUAUGGGACUUCAAUUCAGUGAAAGGUACAUAUUUUCAUUCAAGGCACUUAAGGAAAUGGGCCCGACUAUCACGAGGAUGGACAUGCACUAAUUAGGUGAUUUGAGGCAUCUUACGAUAGGAGUUGUACGAGCUAUGAAGGUUGAUAUUGCGGAUCAUCAGAUGAUAUGUCCUAUGGCUUUGCGCCAAGUAGGGGAGUCUACUAUCGACGAUCGGAUUGCAUGGUCAUGUGAUAUAUCAGUCUUGGUCUGAGGUAUAUAUGUGGUAUUGAAUGGUUCCCCGAAAUUUGUAUAUGGUUAAGGACUGAUAUUUGCAUGGGAUAAUGUUGGGACUUGUUGUAUUUUUGUGUCAUUAAUAAUUCUACAUUUUAGUAUCAGAGAGGUUAUUGAAACAACUUCGGAUUCACAAAAAGGUUUCUUCAGAGUGGACAUCUCGGUUGCAACAUUAUAGGGUGCUUCAGAGGAAAUAAAGUGGCUUAUGGGAUUCUAGGCCACGUGGUUCGUGCUAGGAUCUUCUGCAUCGAGAUUUGAUUUUGGGAUCAUUAUGUACCGACAAGAAGAAGUGUUACCCUUAAGAAAGGUCAAGGAGGAUCCGAAGGAAUGGGUCAGUUCGGUGGUGUUGGGCCAGCAUAGCAAGAAAGGUAAUUUGUCCUUUUUGGGUGGUAAUUCUUUAUCGGUAUUUGUGGCAGUACUAUUGGGUUUGACGGUUUGCAUGACUUGAAUGAGUUGGGAAAGUUCAGUCAUAGAUGGCAUGGGCGAUUUCAAAAGUUAAAGGAGUAUUGGAUGGAUAUCACAGAAGAAGAGAUUGCAUUUUUGGAGGCACCUUAUGUUUUGAAUUGCGGAUGUUUGACUAGUGUUACGGUGAUCGCCUGGUUUUAGGCUUCUGAAGUUCAGGUUUUGUUGCAUGGCAUGGCAGAUCUAUGUGGGUGUUUUUCGUAAGAUGAUGGAGUGUGAGUGAAAUACCAUCCAUUUGAGUAGCGGGAUUGAGAUCGGGUAUGGAUACUGGUAUUCAUGAGGUUUUGGGACUGGAUGUCCACGUAGGUAGACUAUUCCUUGAUUGUGGAUUGUGAAGAAAUGUUGAGAAUAGGAUAACUGAUGGCAUACAUUAUGGAUAGGUUUUUAUGAACUUUGGGAAGGUUAUUUAUCUGUUUGGGAAUAACCGGAGUUGGUUUGGGGGUUAUUUGAAAGCCUAAUGAGAAUGUGUAUUCUAUAUCAGAUAAGGUUUUUUUACUCUUACGCAAUUUCUAUCGUGGGUAUAUUAUCGGGCAGAAUGGAUGUUAUUCAUGCCCCAGUCUAUGCUAUGUGCUUCUCUGUUAUGCUUUGAUGGGUUGUGAGGUUAUAUAAUUAUUUUCACGCAUGUUGUAAUCCCAUUCAGGCCUUAUGGUGAUAUGGGUGGGAUGGCCCUCGUGAUGUUUAUUUGUUUAUUGCACCUUAGUUGUUCUUGCUUUUCUCCAUAUUGUAUUAUUCCCAUUCAUCUUUCCACUGUUAUAUUUGUGCUCUCUAGUGUGCUUGAUACUGGGAUACAUGUGAUUAGUGAUCCCAAGCAUUUUGGCUCGAUGGGUGUCCCUAUAUAGAUUGAUAUAUUUUGGAUCGGAUUGCGCGCCGCAACGGAUGCUAUGUGGGAUACUUUCCUUGUGGUUAUUUGAUGUUUUAUUUUCCCUCUGUGGGAUGAGUUAAUGAAAUUGCACUUUUAUUAUUAUAUUUGUUGUACUUGUUAGAUAGUUUUUGUACCUUGCUUUCUUUCUAUUGUUAGAUACUUUCUUUCUGAGUUAUUUCUUGUUUGGUGUAUGGACCAUGUUGUGUGAGAUUCUAUGUGGUUUUGGUGUGACUUAUCAGUGGGCUACUUGUAUGUGUUCAGAUGAGGUUUCUAGACCUGAGAGUUGCACUAUUGUAUUGGGAUGAGGAGUAUUUGAUUGAAUGAUACCCUAUUUCCGCUAAGAAUUGAGCAAUGAGCCUUGUCGAAUGAGAGAACUUCUUGACUAUUGAUUUUGUAGGUGAUUAUGAGUUUUCGCAUGUUUAUUUUAUCACUACCAGCAUCACGGAGGUCUAGAAUGAGGUUUUAUUUUGCAUGAAGUGUAUUACCGGUACCGAGAUUACUAUUUGGCCGAUCUGGUGGUCGGAAGUUGCUACUAUGGAUAGCUGAGGUAUGUUAAAUAUCAGGUGAUUAUACCUUGAGUUGAGGUUGUUACUUGGUCUAAGUUGUCCACGCUUACAUACGGUAUUGAUGCGAGAUUCGAGGCUUAUGAUGAGUUUCAGAAGUUGAGGAUUAGGCUCAAAGGUUUAUAGACUAAGGAUGAGGUGAGAUCUUUAGUUAAAUUGUGUUGUCAGUCUUACAUGGAUUGGGGUGAUGUUCGAUCAUCCCCGGGUGUAUGUAUGGUGAGCUCGUGCAGUGAUUUGAUAGCUUUGGAACGACUCCUGGCACGUUCGAGGACGAAUGUAUGUUUAAGUGGGGGAGGAUGUAACGACCCGACUGGUCGUUUUGAGUAUUUGCAUUCAGUUCGGCGGUUUGAGGUCACAAAUAGCUUCACAUGGUGUAUUAUGACUUACGUGCAACGUCGACUUUGGUUUUUGAGUGGUUCGGAAUUGAUUUUGUAUGAUGACCCUCACUUGAGAAGUUUGAAGUUGAAAGAGUUAACCAAGUUUGACUUUGUAUAUUUGACCCCGAAUCGGAGUUUGGAUGGUCUUGAUAGGUCCGGAUGGUGAUUUUGGACUUGGGAGUAUGCCCGGAGUUGCAUUUGAAUGUUUCUAGAAGGUAUAGGCACCAUUUGGCGGAAGUUGGCAAUUGAAAUAUUUGGAAUUUUUUGUAGUUUGAACAUGGUUUAACUUUAAGGAUAUCGAGUUCGGAUUUUGGUUUUGGGACUUGGAAUAGGUCUGUUUCGUCAUUUGGAACUUGUCUACAAAAUUUGGUGUCGUUUGGAGUUGGUUUGAUGUGGUUUGGACGCUUGGUUGCAAUUCUAGAAGUUCUUAAAGUUCAUUGUGAUUUCAAUGCGUUUUGGUGUCCGAUUCAUGAUUGAUGGUAUUUAGAUGUUUUAAUUGAGAGCGAGUUCAUAUUAUGUUUAUAGACUUGUGUGGAUAUUUGGUUUGGAGCCCCAAUGGCUCAAAUGCGUUUUGAACGUGUUCGAGGGGGGUUAGGGAGGGACCUCCCUUUUGCGAGGAAAUCAUCACUUUUGCGAAGUUGACUGAGGCCUGCAAAGUUUGCAUUUGCAUUGAAGGCCUGGGCUGGGGAAGAGUCCCUUAUGACUUCUAGUGUAGAUUCGUUAUUGCGGUUGGUUUUGUGAUACGCCGUAGUAGGUUGUAGUUAUUUGUGUAAUGCCUAUUUUAUGGGGAUCGGGUUGCAUGCUGCAACAAUAUUGAAAUGAUAUAAAAAUAUAUGAUAUGGAGCGAUAAGGACGAUGACAUGAUAUAGGUGAGAUCGGGUUGCACGCCGCAACAAAUAUUAUUAUUAUUGUUUGGAAUCAGGUUGCACGCCGCAACAGAUUGAUAUAUUGUAAUUGUUGUGACAGUAAAUUUAUCCUGAAUUGUUAUUCUCAUGGUGUGUUCUAUGUUGGAAUGGUUUAUCAGUUGGACGAUUUUAUUUUUUCCCUUAAAUCAUUUAAUUGGUAUUUGAUCAUUUAAUUUCUUGUGUUACUCUAAUGUGCCAUUAUGUGCCUCCAUUAUUACUUGGUAAAUUGAAUGUCAAGGUGAAUUAUAUGGUCAUUAUCUCAUAUUCUGUUGAGUUGUUGGUAACAUAAUGGUUUAAAAUAAAAGAAUUAUUAACAUGUCUUAUUCUAUGUGUCUCUUAAGAUAGAACUCGUUAUAUCACUCAGUUCCUUAAUAGUUUUAAAUGGAUAUCACAUUUGCACUUUAAUUGGGUUCUCAAAUUUUAUUCAUCACCCUAUUGAUGUUUACUUUACUUAAAACAGUUAUCACAUUUUAUUUCUAACAAAUCCUAAAUUUAGCUUGUUAAUUUAACUGAGGUUUUAUUUUGUUUAAAUAUGAUAUUUUUACUUUAUCUUAUUAAUUUCUAAACUAAACCCAUCUGAUACUCUAUUUGCAUGACCUUUCCUUUAUUCUACUUUAUUUGAAUCCUAAAAUAAACAUAUUAUCUCAUUUGACACCUCUUUUUAUUCAAGAUUGUUAUUAUGCUUUAUUGUGUUUUAAUAUAUCUCUCGAUCAUCUUAACUGAUAUUGAUACAUAUGCGAUGUACAUGGUAGCACGAGGACUUUGCCGUGCGAAGGUGAUUGUUAUUGUGAGCACGAGGUGCCAACGUGAAAGAUUUGAAAAUGUGGAUAACGGUUUGUGAUUUCGAGGAGUGGUACAUCAGGGUAAAACUUGUUGCAAGUCCAUGCAUUGAGAACAAUUUAAUUAAUUAAGUUUUUAUCUUUAACUUAUUGAGUUCGUUCAUAUCCCAUCGUUGUUGUGAUUAUGCUGCUGUUCUAUUACCCGUCUACUUCUUUCUAGCAUUUGAGUUUCCAUUAUCUUCGUCGUUGGUUGUAAAUUAUAAUCCUUCCAUUGUUAGUCCUACAUGUAUGUUCUUUCCAUUGUUAAUUUUGUGUUACAUCUUGUAUAGGUUUCUAUGUUUAGUAGGUGUCUUGACCUGGCCUCGACACUACUCCACCGAGGUUAUGCUUGAAACUUUUGGGUACCAUUGUGGUGUACUCAUGCUACGCUCCUGCACCAUUUUGUGUAGAUUCAUGUACUUUUGAUCGUGUUAUUGAGAGUUGUGUCUGCGCGGAUGAAGACUUCAAGGUACACCUGCUUGACGUUCGAAGGCCUCAGAGUCACCCUCAGUUAUCUUCGCAUUACUGUUUAUCCUUUUAUAAGACAAUGUUGUAUUAGAGGUUUUAGUACGUUUCUGUAGAGCUUACGACUCACUUUCACCGUGUUUUGGGAAUGUUAACUAGGUAUCAUAUUUUUAGUCGUUAUUUCUAUAAUAUUUCCUUGUUGAUUAGGCUUACCUAGACUUAGAGGCUAGGUGCCAUCACGGCAUCUUAUGGUGAGAAAAAUGGGAUCGUGACAUGGACCCCGAGAUAUACUUGUGCCAGUGAGGGGCGCCUCAACCACAAAACCAGGCUCACACCAAAAUACCCUUGAACUUUGACCAUUACUCUUCCUCAAAGGUUUGAGCUCAAACAAAUGUUAAUUCACCAACUCAACCAACAUAUAACAUGAAAGGUAGAAGGUUCAUCAAAUAACCUUUCAAAGGUUCAGCAAUUCAAAAACACCAACUUGAAAUCAAACAACCUUGUUAAGAAUUGAAGCCAUCAUUAGAGUGCCAAACCAUAAGAAACUAAGGACUUAACACAAUAUGGACCUUGAAUAUAAGAAUAGGUCAUUGUAACUGGAUCAUUAAAGGUUUGAUGGUAACAAAAGGCCUUGAUAGGUCACAAAGCAAAGAAGGUUGGUUGUAUGCUGACAGUACAUAGGUUCUAUUUCUUACAACUUCAAGUUUAAGAAUGCCUUAUUGAGUAGUCUAAAGUAUAAGUAAGUGACAAUGAUGGGCAUAUGCACUUGUUUUAUUAUUUUCAAUAAAGGUGCAACACUUUAGAACCUUCUUAAAUACGUUCAGAUCACUAGAGCAAGUAACAGACAUCUUAACAAUUUUUGGAACAGUUGUGAGCAAAUAUGCAUAUAAUAACCUCUCUUCAUUAAACACUUAUGCUAAUGACCUCACUCAGAAUUCAAAGGGGGUAUACGAAUCAGCUGGGAUAACAUGGAUAUUAACAUGACUAGGAAGGCUAGCUUUAGUCUUUAUUUAAACCUAAUGGCCGUGGUAUUUAGUCAUGACAAUGCACACAGUCUAUUAGGUUUCAAAUUACCAGAACCAAACAAUACUCAGAUUCAUUAGUGAGUACUCCCUAAUCAGUGUUGUCAAACAGUUAUGAAAUAAAAAGUAGAGAUGUUCUUUUUUAGUUGGUCAAAGCAGGGUAAGUAGAUCACAUCAAGUGACCAUUUAGACAUGUAAGCAAGUUUAUCAAUAAGUCAUGACAACAAAUCUCCCCACAAGAUUUUAUUUUAUACAAGUUGUCAUGAUAGACACACAUGAAUCAUUUUAUCAUAACUGUGCAAUACAUCACAUUAUCAUAAACAAGAUGUCAGUUAGAGUCAUUUAGGUAAACAAAUAAACAUUAGAAUAUGAGCAUAAUCAUCAAUAAGAACCAGUCAAUAGACUAGACCAAAAUAUCAUGACAUUAAAGGUUGAGACAAACAUAAUGAUGCAUGCAUAAGGGUCUUAGCUAGUUAACAUAAUGAUUUAAGCAUGAAAUUUUCUUAACUAAUGGCAUGUAAAACUUUACGAACAUUACUUGAUUAGAAAAAAUCAUGAUAAAUAUAGGCACAAACAUAAAAAUCAAUAAGUGCCAUUCAAUAAAUACAACAGUGUAGGUUGCACAUAACUACUAUCAUAGAAUUCAGACAGUCACGAGGAAUUAAUAGAUUGUUUAUAAAGACAACAAUAAGGCGUCAUUUCAGUUAUUUAAGCAUGAUCAAACGAUUCAACGAUCAUCAUGAAAUAUUUAUUUGACAACAACACAUGGAUAAACACAAUCUUCAGCAAACAUCAUUAAUAUAAACAAGAGUAACACAAGAGCAUAAUACAAUAAGAAGGUUGCAUGUGUACAGAUGAACACCAUGAAGAGGAGAAUAUCAAAUAAUAACAGAAAAAUAUCAGAACAAAGAGCUACAUAAUUAAUUGAAAGAAUGAAAGAGAGGAGUCAGUGUUCACUGACCUUCUUCAGAGAAGCAAACCCAAUAAGGAUGAUUUGUAGCCAUUUAAGAAUCCAACCUCACAACCAACUUACAAUAAUCAAACUCGAACAAGAAGAAAAGUGAAAGAGAUUAGAGAAGAACUUCGGAAUACUUAGAUCAACAGAAAAUUCUUAAGUCUUAGUGUGUGUUAUGUGUUCUUUCAAUGCCUUUUUCGUGAUUUUUCAGUGUUUGGUGAGAGCAUUAAAAGCUCUAGUUAUAGUAGUAUUGAAGCCUUAGGGCUUCAUUUGAAUUCAAAGGGAUAGUGGG